rnacentral:rRNA from 1 species
GUACAUAAAAUGACUCUCGGCAACGGAUAUCUCGGCUCUCGCAUCGAUGAAGAACGUAGCGAAAUGCGAUACUUGGUGUGAAUUGCAGAAUCCCGUGAACCAUCGAGUCUUUGAACGCAAGUUGCGCCCGAAACCAUUAGGUUGAGGGCACGUCUGCCUGGGUGUCA